rnacentral:lncRNA from 1 species
UGGAAUAGUUUCAGAAGGAAUGGUACCAGCUCCUCCUUGUCCCUCUGGUGGAAUUUGGCUGUGAAUCCAUCUGGUCCUGUACUUUUUUUGGUUGGUAGGCUAUUAUCAUGUUGGCCAUGCUGGUCUUGAACUCCUGACCUCAAGUGAUCCUCCCGCCUCAGCCUUCCAAAGUGUUGGGAUUACAGGCAUGAGCCACUGCACCCAACCCCAUAUGAAUUUUUAAAGUUUUUUCUAAUUCUAUGAAGAAUCUCAAUAGUAGUUUAAUGGGAACAGCAUUGAAUCCAUAAAUUGCUUUGAGCAACAUGGCCAUUUUCAUGAUAUUGAUUCUUCCUAUCCAUGAGCAUGGAAUGCUUUCCCACUUGUUUGUGUCAUAUCAAUUUUCUCUGAGCAGUGGUUUGUACUGCCUGCAAUCCCAUUUGGUAGUACUACCAUUUUCCUUCAAUAUUUUGUCUAUUCAACUUGUAUAUUUUUAAAUUACUAUUAUCUCACAUAUACAUAUGUAAUACAUUUCUAAUUCUGCUCUUUUCACCUAAUAUUAAAUCAUGAGAUUCCCCCUUAUCAUUAAGAAGUUAUUCAAAGACAUAAUUUUAGUUACUACAUAAUGUCCCAUUUUAUGGAUGGCCCAU